UAAUCCUUCUGUCUCAGCUCUGAGAAUGAAACUUCAAUUCCGUUUCGGGAGACUAUUUCAUCAUUCAUUUAGUUUUGUACCAUUUUUUAUGCAUGUUUUGCCUUCACAUCUUGACAUAUGACAUAAGAGAUUUUGCAGAUGCUGAAAAUCUUGAGCAAUACACACAAAAUGCUGGAGGAAAUUGGCAGGCGGCAUCUAUGGAGAGGAAUGAACAGUUAACGUUUCGGGCUGAGACCAUCAAUCGGGAUUGGAAAGAGAAAGGGCAGAAACCAGAAUUUUUUAAAAAAGUGGUAAACUGACAUUCAUAACUCCUGUCUUUUCCAAAAUACUUAACCAGCAACUAAAAAAAAGGAGAGGAAUGGGCAGAUCGAAGAGAAUGUGUGUGACAGAAGCCGAGAGAGACUGAAAGAGCAAGUGCUGGUGAUGCCAGAUGACAGAAGAUGGUGAAGGUUGUUAAUUAAGAUGCCCCAAUCAUAAACAAGACAAAAUCUGCGGAUACUGGAAAUCCAAGCAAUACACAAAAAAUGCUGGAGGAACUCAGCACCCCAGAAGCUGUCUGCCCUUUUGAGCAUUUCCAAUUUCUUCUGUUUUUAUAUCAGAUUUCCAGCUUUUUUUAGGUAGCUUUACUUCACUGGAUGAGGAUACAUGUUGGCCAAACAAUAGUACUGUUUUUUGUUAAAUAUCUCUCAAAGAUUAUUUAAGUAUGCAUAUAUCAUCAGAUCAAUAUUUAAUACCUCCUCAGGAUAAUGGUACAUUUGUUGCUGUGCUGCUCAUAGUUAUGUAUUCAGUUUUCACAAUGAAAUUGAGUCCAAUGUUUGAUAUUCCUGGAAUGAAAAUUAUGAUGUGAGGCAACGCACAUAAAAAUUGCUGGUGAACGCAGCAAUUCUCAAAAGGACAGACAGCAUCUGGCCUGCUGAGUUCCUCCAGCAUUUUGUGUGUGUUGCUUGGAUUUCCAGCAUCUGCAGAUUUUGUCUUGUUUAUGAUAAGAGGUAGAGGAUUUCAUAGAUUUUGUAUAUGAUCUCAUAGAAAUAUCAUUUUCAGGAGCACAAUGAGUUGGACUACAGGGAACACAUUUUAUAUGUCCGGAAGGUCCAAUACUAUGCAAAACAGUUUCCCAAUGUAAUGGGGUCGGAUAUUAAUGAUUGAGCUGAGGAGAUAUUUCUUCAUUUUUAAAAAAAGGUGUGAAUAGUUAGGAAUCUUUCCCCCAAAUGACAGUGGACACUUGGUAAUUGAAUAUAUUUAAAACUAUUGGAAUACUAGGGGAAAUAAUUUGUUAACAUUGUGGGAAUUUGGAACGGACAUAUGAGUAUUAAUUAUGAUCUUAUUGAAUGUCAGGCAGUCUUCUUGAGAGAACUUUUGUAAUAUUGCAAAAGUAUUGCCCGAUUUUCCUGAACCUUAACUGUUCAAGUAAAUUAAUUUCCUUUCUUGCCCCCUUCCCUCUCCACCACACCUAGAAUUUACAUAAUAUGCUAGUCUGACUGGAAAUUGCUUACAACAUGUUUACAGAAUGCCACCAGUGACAGGCAGUCUGCAGUGGUCAGAGAAGGCUGCUUUCUGUAAUCAAAUCAGAUUAGAGAUGGAAGGCUAAUGAUUAGCUUUUCUUGUUCUUCCUGUUCAGGAUAAUGUAAUUAUUUGAAAACUUAAAUCUGGUCUUGAAAAAACAGUUCCACUAAUUUGAUUCAUAGUUUUCCAUUUAUGUAAGUAAAAGCUGGCUUUACUUAAUUAUUGGAGAAACCUGGUGUCUUGUUCCAGGAUAAGGUGUGCACGACUUGUGGGGUUGCAAUUAGUGGUGGCGGGUGUGGGAAUGAGUGUUUGGAAAACAGCAGUACAGCCACUCUCUUUUAAUAGUCUUUCCAAAAUACAUGUGAUUAUGAACAAGCACACCCUAAAAUGUUAAGGACUUGCACAAGUGCUCCUUCAGUAGCUGGAAAACUUAAAUUCCUGUAUAUGCCCCAUUCUACUUUAAAUAAAAAUUGGGAGAAGCAUGUAACAAAGACAUUGUGCAAUGAAUUGCAAUACAGAGUUGUGUAUAAACUUACUUAGGAGGAUGAAGAAAUAUGUCUUCAUUGCGUCAGUUUCUGUCAAAUGAAACUGAAGACUAUUGUGUACAAUGUUGCAAUAGUUAAACAUGUGACACAGCUCCAUAAGGAAAAAUUACCUCACAAAUCUUACAUCUACACUUUUCACAUUAUAUAUUUCAUAUACUGUAUGCAAGUAUUUAUUAAGUGAUUCCUUUUUAUGUUGAACCACCAUGUAGUGAAAAACAGGGGACUCUAGAUUCUUUGUUUCCAAUAUAAAUCUUUUUCUCCAAAUUGCUACGGUUCACUAUGGCAAAUGUUGAAUUGUAAUUUUUUAGAAGUUUUAAAAGUAUCCGGGAGAUACUGGAGUAUUUUACUGUCCAAAUCAGAAAAUGGAAAAAUAACUGUUUUCAGUGUACUGUAUAUAAUAAUCAUAAAAGGUAUUCAUUGUUUAUUCUCGUCAGGGUAACUUGAUACUUUGUGUGUAUAAUCAAGUUUUGGGUCAUAAAACUGAAUGUCUGCACAUAGGCUCUAUUUGUACAUGGUAUGCCAGAACUGUAAAGGGAGGACCUAACACAUAAUAUUUUUCUCUCUGCUAGAUCAUGUAUUGCAAUGAACUGCUGCUGCUAAGUUAACUAAUUUCGCGUUACAUGCCGGUAAUAAUAAACCUGAUUCUGAUUCUAAUAAGAGGUACGGUACGACACAAACGAGGAAAUCUGCAGAAGGUGGAAAUCCUGAGCAAUACACAGGAUCUAUGGAAAAGAGUAAACAGUCGAUGUUUCGAGCCGAGACCCGACCCUUCAGCACAGAGAGGGAAGGGGCGAGAUGCCUGAAUUAAAAGGUGGGGGAGAGGGGAAGGAGCCUGGUUGGAAGGUGAUAGGUGAAGCCAGAUGAGUGGGAAAGGUCAAGGACUAGAGAAGAAAGAAUCUGAUAGGACAGGAGAAUGGACAAUAGAAGAAAGUAGAGUAGUAGUUUAUGCAGGGUCAGACUUUAUCCUGACACGGGAUAAAUGCAAAUCUAAGCCACACACACUGUAGAGGAUUCAGCGUUUACUUGCAAGUGAGACACUCACAGAUAGACAGUUACAGACCCAUCGACCAGUUUUGGGGAUUCUGCGUGCUUACCAGACUCGUAGUCACUGUCUACUUGUAGUUCUAUUUGGAGCCACACGUGAUUCUGUACUUCAUUUCUUGAGAUGCAGCGUGGAGUAGCCCCUUCCGGCCCUUCAAGUCGUGCCACCCAGCAACCCCCUAUUUAACCCUAGCCUAAUCACAGGGCAAGUUAUAAUUACCAAUUAACCUACCAAACAGUAGAUCUUUGAACUGUGGGAGGAACUGGAGGAAACCCACACGGUCAAAGAACGUAUAAAUUCCUUACAGGCAGUGGCAGAAAUUGAUCCCAGCUGCUGGUACUGCAAAGCGUUGUGCUAACCACUACGCUGGCAUGCCACCCAUUUUAGAAGAAUGUGAAUCAGGCAAUUAGUCAUCUUCAUCCAUCUAUACAGACCUUUUGUACUUGCUGUAGGAGAAUUGUGUUCAAUGUGUGAACCUUGCAUACAAACAUACAAUUUAGAAGCAGGAGUAAGCCACUCAGUCUCUUGAGCCAUGCUGUUAUGUUGUUAUUUAUAAUCUUUCAACUCAAAUAAAUGAAAAUCAGGAGUAAGAAUUUCUGGUCUCUCAACAUUUAUUAAACCCCUCGAUCAUACUUUGUACACCCUGCAGUAAUUCAG